UGGGGAAUAUUGCACAAUGGACGGAAGUUUGAUGCAGCGACGCCGCGUGGAGGGUGUAGGCCUUCGGGUUGUGAACUCCUUUUUCUCGCGAAAAAGGCACAGUUUUGGCUGUGUUGAUGGUAGUGGGGGAAGAAGCGCCGGCUAACUACGUGCCAGCAGCCGCGGUAAUACGUAGGGCGCGAGCGUUGUCCGGAUUUAUUGGGCGUAAAGAGCUCGUAGGUGGUUCGUCGCGUCUGUCGUGAAAGCCAGCAGCUUAACUGUUGGUCUGCGGUGGGUACGGGCGGGCUUGAGUGCGGGAGGGGUGACUGGAAUUCCUGGUGUAGCGGUGGAAUGCGCAGAUAUCAGGAGGAACACCGAUGGCGAAGGCAGGUCACUGGGCCGUUACUGACACUGAGGAGCGAAAGCGUGGGGAGCGAACAGG
rnacentral:rRNA from 1 species